rnacentral:tRNA from 1 species
GCGGAGGUAGUCGAGCUGGCCAAAGGCGCGGGACUUAAGAUCCCGUCCGUAGAGGUUCAAGGGUUCGAAUCCCUUUCUCCGCACCA